rnacentral:rRNA from 1 species
AACGAACGCUGGCGGCAGGCUUAACACAUGCAAGUCGAGCGCCCCGCAAGGGGAGCGGCAGACGGGUGAGUAACGCGUGGGAAUCUACCCAUCUCUACGGAAUAACGCAUGGAAACGUGUGCUAAUACCGUAUACGUCCUUCGGGAGAAAGAUUUAUCGGAGAUGGAUGAGCCCGCGUUGGAUUAGCUAGUUGGUGGGGUAAAGGCCUACCAAGGCGACGAUCCAUAGCUGGUCUGAGAGGAUGAUCAGCCACACUGGGACUGAGACACGGCCCAGACUCCUACGGGAGGCAGCAGUGGGGAAUAUUGGACAAUGGGCGCAAGCCUGAUCCAGCCAUGCCGCGUGAGUGAUGAAGGCCCUAGGGUUGUAAAGCUCUUUCACCGGUGAAGAUAAUGACGGUACCGGAAGAAGAAGCCCCGGCUAACUUCGUGCCAGCCGCCGCGGUAAGAC